rnacentral:rRNA from 1 species
AUUGAACGCUGGCGGCAGGCCUAACACAUGCAAGUCGAACGAGUGGCGGACGGGUGAGUAAUGUCUGGGAAAAUGCCCGAUGGAGGGGGAUAAAUACUGGAAACGGUAGCUAAUACCGCAUACCAUCGGAUGUACCCAGAUGGGAUUAGCUUGUAGGUGAGGUAACGGCUCACCUAGGCGACGAUCCCUAGCUGGUCUGAGAGGAGGACCAGCGACACUGGAACUGAGACACGGUCCAGACGCCUACGGGAGUCAGCAGUGGGGAAGAUUGAGCCAUGGGCGCAAGCAUGAUGCAGCCAGGCGGGGUGUAUGGAGAAGGCCUUCGGGUUGUAAAGUACUGUCAUCGGGGAGGCGUUACCCGCAGAAGACGCACCGGCUACCUCCGUGCCAGCAGCCGCGGUAAUAC